rnacentral:lncRNA from 1 species
CUGUUUUUUUGUUUUAUGAAUUUCAUAAAAUGCGUUGAAUCGUCCCACUGAUCUUAUUUAAUUUAGCUUUAAAAUUAAUAGAAAUCAACGUCAAUUAUAUUUCUUUCUUUCGCAUUUCUUUUUAUCAAUAGUAAGUCUUAAUUUACAUUUCUUCCUUUUCUCCAUGCAUGUUGUAAUAUUUCUGCUCUUUGAUUUCGGUCCCUUGUUGCGACAUUGUUUCUGUUAUAUCGACAUUCCACACACAAAUACAUAAAAACAGAACAAGCACACACACAAGAACAGACGUACAACCCAUUAGCUUCCUCUUUCCUCUUUGAUACGUCAAAUAGAACAAGCACGCAGCUAGCAGUUGACAAGACAAACAUGUGCUCACAGAAAUUACCAAGAACUUUUUCAAACAUUUUUAUCUGUUUGGCAUGUGCAACAGUGGAAUAAUGUUAUGUAUUGUGCUGUCAUCAUCUUUUAUACAACCUUUCACUUCACCAACUACAUUAUUAGGCUGCUCUUCAUGGUCAGGGCCGAUUGACAACUUUACAACAGUUCUAGUAUUGUCUUGCAUUACUGUGCACACCUGUAGACGCUAUAUUGAGAGUAGAAGUGUCAGCAUCUAUUCCUCAGCAACUAUUUCUAUACUUCAUUAUAUUACAGGCUUUAUUCACUACUUCUCAUUAUCUGCUAUCCCAACAGUGGAAUCAGUUGUCAUUUGCAACAAUACAAGUUAAGUUUUUCUUACAUUUCAUUGUCUUAAUUUGUAAAACAUACACCACACACACACAUACACACACAGGGUAAGGGUAAAAGGUACAUGGGUCAGUGAUUAGAGUGUUAGAUUCACAACCAUGAGGUAGUGAGUUCAAUUCUUGGACUAGGUUGUGUGUUGUGACCUUCAGCAAGACACUUUCUUUCAUUUUGCCCCAGUCCACUCAGCUGUAGAAAUGAAUUGUGACAUCACUGGUGCCAAGCUUUAUUGGCUUUUGACUUUCUCUUGGGUAACAUCAGUGGCAUGGAGAGGGGGGGCUGGAAUACAUGGGUAACUGCUGGUCUUCCAUAAACAAC